GACGAACGCUGGCGGCGUGCCUAAUACAUGCAAGUCGAGCGCUGAAGGUUGGUACUUGUACCAACUGGAUGAGCAGCGAACGGGUGAGUAACGCGUGGGGAAUCUGCCUUUGAGCGGGGGACAACAUUUGGAAACGAAUGCUAAUACCGCAUAAAAACUUUAAACACAAGUUUUAAGAUUGAAAGAUGCAAUUACAUCACUCAAAGAUGAUCCCGCGUUGUAUUAGCUAGAUGGUGAGGUAAAGGCUCACCAAGGCGAUGAUACAUAGCCGACCUGAGAGGGUGAACCGCCCACUUUGGACUGGGACACGGCCCAAACUCCUUCGGGAGGCAGCAGUAGGGAAUCUUCGGCAAUGGAGGAAAGUCUGACCGAGCCACGCCGCGUGAGGGGAGAAGGUUCUCGGAUCGUUAAACUCUGUUGGUAGAGAAGAACGUUGGUGAGAGUGGAAAGCUCAUCAAGUGACGGUAACUACCCAGAAAGGGACGGCUAACUACGUG
rnacentral:rRNA from 1 species